UAAUGACGGUAGUAAACGAAUAAGCCACGGCUAACUACGUGCCAGCAGCCGCGGUAAUACGUAGGUGGCGAGCGUUGUCCGGAAUUACUGGGUGUAAAGGGAGCGUAGGCGGGACGGCAAGUCAGAUGUGAAAACCACGGGCUUAACCUGUGGACUGCAUUUGAAACUGUUGUUCUUGAGUGAAGUAGAGGUAAGCGGAAUUCCUGGUGUAGCGGUGAAAUGCGUAGAUAUCAGGAGGAACACCGGUGGCGAAGGCGGCUUACUGGGCUUUAACUGACGCUGAGGCUCGAAAGCGUGGGUAGCAAACAGGAUUAGAUACCCUGGUAGUCCACGCUGUAAACGAUGAUUACUAGGUGUGGGGGGACUGACCCCUUCCGUGCCGCAGUUAACACAAUAAGUAAUCCACCUGGGGAGUACGGCCGCAAGGUUGAAACUCAAAGGAAUUGACGGGGGCCCGCACAAGCAGUGGAUUAUGUGGUUUAAUUCGACGCAACGCGAAGAACCUUACCAGGAUUUGACAUCCAACUAACGAAGUAGAGAUACAUUAGGUGCCCUUCGGGGAAAGUUGAGACAGGUGGUGCAUGGUUGUCGUCAGCUCGUGUCGUGAGAUGUUGGGUUAAGUCCCGCAACGAGCGCAACCCUUGCCUUUAGUUGCCAGCAUUAAGUUGGGCACUCUAGAGGGACUGCCAGGGAUAACCUGGAGGAAGGUGGGGAUGACGUCAAAUCAUCAUGCCCCUUAUGACCUGGGCUACAAACGUGCUACAAUGGUGACUACAAAGAGAAGCGAGCUCGCGAGGGUAAGCGGAUCUCAAAAAAGUCAUCCCAGUUCGGAUUGUGGGCUGCAACCCGCCCACAUGAAGUUGGAGUUGCUAGUAAUCGCGAAUCAGCAUGUCGCGGUGAAUACGUUCCCGGGCCUUGCACUCACCGCCCGUCA
rnacentral:rRNA from 1 species